UUCAAAGCAAACAUGAAAAUUUCCUUGGAAAAAUCAAAAUUCUUUAGAAAAGAAAUAGAAUUUUUAGGAUACAUAGUAUCAUACAAUAUCAUUAAAACUGAUCCGAAAAAAAUAGAAUCAAUCAUGAAAUACCCUCCUCCUAAUAAUUUAAGGGAAUUACGAGGUUUUCUUGGCUUAACAGGCUACUACAGGAAGGACAUAACGGUAUGGUUUCAAAACAUAUGUC